UACGUAGGGGGCAAGCGUUGUCCGGAAUUAUUGGGCGUAAAGAGCGCGUAGGCGGUCCGAUAAGUCGGCUGUGAAAGUCAGGGGCUCAACCCUUGGAAGCCGGCCGAUACUGUCGGACUAGAGUCCGGAAGAGGCGAGUGGAAUUCCCGGUGUAGCGGUGAAGUGCGCAGAUAUCGGGAGGAACACCAAUGGCGAAGGCAGCUCGCUGGGACGUGACUGACGCUGAGACGCGAAAGCGUGGGGAGCGAUCCGG
rnacentral:rRNA from 1 species